GUAUAACAGAGCUCCACAGCAAUACUACUCCCAGUAAUGUGUCUGAGUGUAUAACAGAGCUCCACAGCAAUAAUACUCCCAGUAAUGUGUCUGAGUGUAUAACAGAGCCCCACAGCAAUAAUACUCCCAGUAAUGUGUCUGAGUGUAUAACAGAGCUCCACAGCAAUAAUACUCCCAGUAAUGUGUCUGAGUGUAUAACAGAGCUCCA
rnacentral:lncRNA from 1 species